rnacentral:rRNA from 1 species
UAAUUGAAAAAUCACGAAACUUAAAGGAUUUGGCGGUAAAUUAAUUAAUCAGAGGAAUUUGUUCAGUAAAUGAUACUCCGCAUAAAAUUUAACCUUAAUUAAGAGUUUAUAUAUCGCUGUUUACAGGAAAUUUUUAGAGAAUUUAAAUUUUCAUUAUUAAUAAUUUUAAUAAAAUCAAGUCUAGAUGUAGCAUAUAUUAAGGGGUGAAAUGAAUUACAUUUAGUAUACUAAAACGGAGUUAUCAACUAAAGUUAAUAAUGAAGGUGGAUUUGAUAGUAAUAUUAUAAUAAAAUGAUUAUAUGAAUUAAACUCUAAUUUAUGU